GGUGGAUCAUGGAAUGUGGAUCAGCUGUGUAGGAAUGGAGCAGGAUGAACGGCCACGCCUCCUCACCUGCUUCCUCUAGACACGCCCCUUUUCUCUUCUGGUUGAUGCUUCUAGAAGACAAAGAGUCACAAGGUCAGUUGGUAGUUUAACUGUUAUCCUGCAUUAGAAUUAGGUCACAUUACAAUAUUCUCUUGGCGUUUUGAGAGGGAGAACCAAUCCAGCCCAGUCUGCUCAUUGCUGAAUGCUCACUUCCUAUAGUUUGAAUUCCUCCACUAUUGCUGUAGACGACAAAAUAUACAUAGACGCCGCAUUGGCUUCUGGUCGCGAGAAAUACGCCGCCAUCUUGGAGCGGUCGAAGAUGCAGGACGCCACAGCACUGUGCUGCUUAUUUCUGCGCUAAUCGGCGGAGCAUCGCCAGCAGGGCUCAGGGGGGAAAACCUUUCACAAACUCUCCCAAAUCUUCCGUUUUCAUUUUGAAUGUGAGGAAGAAGUGGCUUUGAGGAGAGAUGGAUUUACAGCGAGUGAUUCAUCAGUGCUUUGCUGUGAACACUUUGAUGAGACGGGUCAGAUUGUCCCACUCCGAGAUGGUGUUAUUCCAUCAGUCUUCAGCUUCCCGGUUCACCUCCAAAAAUUGGAGAAGGGCAGGUCUACCUCCACCUCCAGAAGAGCUGAUGAAUGUCUGUCCGGCCUCUCAGGAUUCCCAAGAAAUGGCAACCUCACACCCACAGCCUCAGCCUAAUGAUGUGCUGAGAGCUGCAGAGAGGGUGAUCCAACAACACAAGCUCCUGAGGCGUCGACAGUCACACACAUCGUCCGACAGGAGAUUGGAACGGAUGAUGGUUUUUUGCUUGGGGAACACAUGAAGACACAGUUUGGCAUCGACAACCAUCACUCAGACUUGUUGUCAUUGGUUGUCAAGAAGCUCUGCAAGACAGUCCUAUUCCAGGGGUUUGUGUGUGUGUGUGUGUGUGUGUGUGUGUGUGUGUGUGUGUGUGUGCGCGUGCGCGCGUGUGUGUGUGCUUGCAAAUAUUCAAUUCAUUUUAUUUCUAAUUCUAUAUUGUUUUUUAGCGUAUAAAAUGUCUGACUUUACUGCUACUAUCAAAAUUAUAGUGUGUGAUUUUCAAAAUACCUAUCAUAGUCUACAUCAUAUAUCAGAAUAUAACAUUACUGUUAAGUCCACAAUGAAUAUUAAAAUACGCCGAACUAUGUGCCCUGUGUCAUAGCUGCAUGUAUGACCUUUGCAGCAAAAAAACCCAGGUGAA
ensembl:lncRNA